rnacentral:tRNA from 4 species
GUCGGGAUAGCUCAGUUGGU